CAACUCACUCCACACACCAAAAUUUAAUUUUUGAGUUUUAAAAAUAUUAUAUUCAAAUUCAGUUUUAAAUUUUCAACUCUCAACUAAAAAUCUCUCUCUUACUAACAACCUCAUACAUAUUCUUUUCUAUUCAAAAUUCGAUUUUGAAAUCGACUGUCCUAGUUCAAGUGGUAAAGGACUUGACGGUUGGUACCGGAGGUCAAAGUUCGAAUCCUAAUUGAUUCACAUUUUUAGCUAAGUUUAUUUCUAAAUGAAAUAAACUAAGCGGGUUGCAACCUAUCUCUCAAAAAAAAAUUGAUUUUGAAUUUUGAUUUUUCAAUCAACUCCCAAAAUAUUUUUUAAAGCAACUCUCACUUAUCCCUCAACGAAACAUAUCCAACUUCACAUUAAAAUUUUAGAAUUCCACCGAUCCCUCAACAAAUUCCUAAAAUUUGUUCUCUAAACAUUAACCGGUUCCAAUAGAGAGCAAAAAAAAAAGAAUAUAUACUGUCACACCCCGGAUUACACGUUUUCCGGAUACGCCGACAAAUUCGCCGUAUACAAAGAAAUUAUCCAUAUAUACGAAGUGAUAGCUGUACCUGUAAAACAUAUAAUACUACAAACGGU
rnacentral:lncRNA from 1 species